UUGACACCAAAGUCCUCUUUUUCUCACCGAAUAGGUACAGCACAGGCAGCUGCUGUGCAGACUUCCUCACCAAUGUGUCUUUACCCUGAUCUGCUGGGAGAGGUUGGGUGGAGUCCUUUUGACGCUUUCAAACCUUAUGCCUCU
rnacentral:sRNA from 1 species